GACGAACGCUGGCGGCGUGCUUAACACAUGCAAGUCGAACGAUGAAGCCGGAGCUUGCUCCGGUGGAUUAGUGGCGAACGGGUGAGUAACACGUGAGCAAUCUGCCCUUGACUCUGGGAUAACUGCGGGAAACUGUAGCUAAUACCGGAUACGACACCUUGGGACAUCCCAGGGUGUGGAAAGAAUUUCGGUCAAGGAUGAGCUCGCGGCCUAUCAGCUAGUUGGUGAGGUAAUGGCUCACCAAGGCGACGACGGGUAGCCGGCCUGAGAGGGGAACCGGCCACACUGGAACUGAGACACGGUCCAGACUCCUACGGGAGGCAGCAGUGGGGAAUAUUGCACAAUGGGCGAAAGCCUGAUGCAGCAACGCCGCGUGAGGGAUGAAGGCCUUCGGGUUGUAAACCUCUUUUAGCAGGGAAGAAGCGAAAGUGACGGUACCUGCAGAAAAAGCACCGGCUAACUACGUGCCAGCCGCCGCAGUAA
rnacentral:rRNA from 1 species